rnacentral:rRNA from 1 species
GACGUAGGAUGCAAGCGUUGUCCGGAUUUAUUGGGCGUAAAGAGUUCGUAGGCGGCAUGUCAAGUCUGGUGUUAAAUCUCGGGGCUCAACCCCGAAUCGGCACUGGAUACUGGCAAGCUGGAGUACAGAAGAGGCAAGGGGAAUUCCCAGUGUAGCGGUGAAAUGCGUAGAUAUUGGGAGGAACACCAGUGGCGUAAGCGUCUUGCUGGGCUGUUACUGACGCUGAGGAACGAAAGCCAGGGGAG